CUACGGGAGGCAGCAGUCGGGAAUUUUGCGCAAUGGGCGAAAGCCUGACGCAGCAACGCCGCGUGAGGGAUGAAGGCCUUAGGGUUGUAAACCUCUUUUCUCAGGGACGAUGAUGACGGUACCUGAGGAAUAAGCCACGGCUAACUACGUGCCAGCAGCCGCGGUAAUACGUAGGUGGCAAGCGUUGUCCGGAUUUACUGGGCGUAAAGAGCGCGCAGGCGGUCGUUCAAGUCGCGUGUGAAAGCCCCCGGCUCAACUGGGGAGGGUCACGCGAUACUGAUCGACUCGAAGGCGGGAGAGGGAAGCGGAAUUCCCGGUGUAGUGGUGAAAUGCGUAGAUAUCGGGAGGAACACCAGUGGCGAAGGCGGCUUCCUGGCCCGUUCUUGACGCUGAGGCGCGAAAGCUAGGGGAGCAAACGGGAUUAGAUACCCUGGUAGUCU
rnacentral:rRNA from 1 species